UGGGGAAUAUUGGACAAUGGGGGGAACCCUGAUCCAGCCAUGCCGCGUGUGUGAAGAAGGCCUUAUGGUUGUAAAGCACUUUAAGCGAGGAGGAGGGUACUGGUAUUAAUACUACCAGGUACUGGACGUUACUCGCAGAAUAAGCACCGGCUAACUCUGUGCCAGCAGCCGCGGUAAUACAGAGGGUGCGAGCGUUAAUCGGAUUUACUGGGCGUAAAGCGUGCGUAGGCGGCUAAUUGAGUCGGAUGUGAAAUCCCCGAGCUUAACUUGGGAAUUGCAUUCGAUACUGGUUAGCUAGAGUGUGGGAGAGGAUGGUAGAAUUUCCUGUGUAGCGGUGAAAUGCGUAGAUAUAGGAAGGAACACCAGUGGCGAAGGCGACCACCUGGGCUCAUACUGACACUGAGGUGCGAAAGCGUGGGGAGCAAACAGG
rnacentral:rRNA from 1 species